rnacentral:rRNA from 1 species
GACGAACGCUGGCGGCGUGCCUAACACAUGCAAGUCUAACGGAGUUAAGUGCUUCGGUAUUUAACUUAGUGGCGAACGGGUGAGUAACGCGUGAGAAACCUGCCUUUCAGUGGGGGACAACAGUUGGAAACGACUGCUAAUACCGCAUAAUAUACACGGACCGCAUGAUCUGUGUAUCAAAGCUUUAUGUGCUGAAAGAUGGUCUCGCGUCUGAUUAGCUAGUUGGUGAGGUAACGGCUCACCAAGGCGACGAUCAGUAGCCGGUCUGAGAGGAUGAACGGCCACAUUGGGACUGAGAUACGGCCCAGACUCCUACGGGAGGCAGCAGUGGGGAAUAUUGGGCAAUGGGGGAAACCCUGACCCAGCAACGCCGCGUGAAGGAAGAAGGCCUUCGGGUUGUAAACUUCUUUUAGCAGGGACGAAGAACGUGACGGUACCUGCAGAAAAAGCAACGGCUAACUACGUGCCAGCAGCCGCGGUAAUACGUAGGUUGCAAGCGUUGUCCGGAUUUACUGGGUGUAAAGGGCGUGUAGGCGGAGCUGCAAGUCAGAUGUGAAAUCCCGGGGCUCAACCCCGGAACUGCAUUUGAAACUGUAGCCCUUGAGUAUCGGAGAGGCAAGCGGAAUUCCUAGUGUAGCGGUGAAAUGCGUAGAUAUUAGGAGGAACACCAGUGGCGAAGGCGGCUUGCUGGACGACAACUGACGCUGAGGCGCGAAAGCGUGGGGAGCAAACAGGAUUAGAUACCCUGGUAGUCCACGCUGUAAACGAUGAAUACUAGGUGUGGGGGGACUGACCCCUUCCGUGCCGGAGUUAACACAAUAAGUAAUCCACCUGGGGAGUACGACCGCAAGGGUUGAAACUCAAAGGAAUUGACGGGGGCCCGCACAAGCAGUGGAGUAUGUGGUUUAAUUCGAAGCAACGCGAAGAACCUUACCAGGUCUUGACAUCGAGUGACGAACUUAGAGAUAAGUUUUUCCUUCGGGACACGAAGACAGGUGGUGCAUGGUUGUCGUCAGCUCGUGUCGUGAGAUGUUGGGUUAAGUCCCGCAACGAGCGCAACCCUUAUCAUUAGUUGCUACGCAAGAGCACUCUAAUGAGACUGCCGUUGAUAAAACGGAGGAAGGUGGGGAUGACGUCAAAUCAUCAUGCCCCUUAUGACCUGGGCUACACACGUACUACAAUGGUGAUAAAACAGAGGGAAGCAACACAGCGAUGUGAAGCAGAUCCCGAAAAAUCAUCUCAGUUCAGAUUGCAGGCUGCAACUCGCCUGCAUGAAGUCGGAAUUGCUAGUAAUCGCGGAUCAGCAUGCCGCGGUGAAUACGUUCCCGGGCCU